ACGGCCAGACACAUUGAAACACCGAUUCUCGUACGAUCACCGAAAUUAAGCAACGUGAAGCCUGGUCAGUACCUAGAUAGGUGACAGCUUGGGAAUAACAGGUGCUGUAAG